rnacentral:rRNA from 1 species
GUCCUCUCGUUUAUUAUGGGAGGUCGGACCUGCCCGGUGAAAUAUUUUAACGGCCGCGGUAUUUUGACCGUGCAAAGGUAGCAUAAUCAUUAGUCUUUUAAUAGGGGGCUGGAAUGAAGGGUUUGACGAAAUAAUAACUGUCUCAUUAAAAAUAGUUGAAUUUAAUUUUUAAGUUAAAAGGCUUAAAUUUUGUUGGAAGACGAGAAGACCCUAUAGAGCUUUAUUUGUGUUUAUUUAAUUUUUAUUGUCUAUUUUCUUGUUUUAUAAUCAUGUAAUUUUGUUGGGGCGACAGGGAAAUAUAUAAAACUUUCAUUAUUUGUGUUACAUUUAUUUAUGAUUAUAUGAUCCAUUAUUAUUGAUUAUUAGAAUAAGUUACCUUAGGGAUAACAGCGUAAUCUUCUUUGGGAGUUCAAAUUUACAAGAAGGCUUGCGACCUCGAUGUUGGAUUAAGAUAAUAAUUAGGUGCAGUAGCUUAAUUAAUAGGUCUGUUCGACCUUUAAAUUCUUACAUGAUCUGAGUUCAGACCGG